GUUAGAGUGGCAGAGCCCGGUAAUUGCAUAAAACUUAAGCUUUUAUUAUCAGAGGUUCAACUCCUCUCUCUAACA
rnacentral:tRNA from 1 species